UUGAACGCUGGCGGCAUGCUUUACACAUGCAAGUCGAACGGUAACGCGGGGGCAACCCUGGCGACGAGUGGCGAACGGGUGAGUAAUACAUCGGAACGUACCCAGUUGUGGGGGAUAGCUCGGCGAAAGCCGGAUUAAUACCGCAUACGACCUACGGGUGAAAGCGGGGGCUCGCAAGACCUCGCGCUAUUGGAGCGGCCGAUGGCAGAUUAGCUUGUUGGUGAGGUAAGAGCUUACCAAGGCGACGAUCUGUAGCUGGUCUGAGAGGACGACCAGCCACACUGGGACUGAGACACGGCCCAGACUCCUACGGGAGGCAGCAGUGGGGAAUUUUGGACAAUGGGCGAAAGCCUGAUCCAGCAAUGCCGCGUGUGUGAUGAAGGCCUUCGGGUUGUUAAA
rnacentral:rRNA from 1 species